CAGAUAGCAUCAUCUUGAACACCACUGGUUCAACACUUUUCUUUAUAGAUCCAGACAUUCCAAAAUUGAAUACAUACAAAUCAGUGUUUUCAACCUGGCCUCAUCCCAUUAAAACACUGCCUCCUUCCAAGCAAGCCAAUGAGCAAGACAUUUUCCAAACUGGGAAAAAGAUGACAAUUGAGGAGUUAGGAUAUUUGGAUCCUGACUUAUAUAAGAAUGAUACAUUUUUGUGCAAAGCAUC